CAUUAUUGAAUGAACUUGGUGUGGUUGUCGCUGGCCCUCUUGGGGGCAUGUGCACACCUACCAUCCUCAUCUCUCCACCUGUGCACCUCUUGUAGAUUUGGAAUUGAUUAUCCGAGGCAACUCGGUCGUGAGGACUGCUAGCACUUAGCUGGCUUUCUUUGCAAUUCCAGGUCUAUGUUUUUCAUAUACCCCAUUGUAUGUAACAGAAUGUAUCAUUGGGCCCUUGUGCCUAUAAACCUUAUACAACUUUCAGCAACGGAUCUCUUGGCUCUCGCAUCGACGAAGAACGCAGCGAAAUGCGAUAAGUAAUGUGAAUUGCAGAAUUCAGUGAAUCAUCGAAUCUUUGAACGCACCUUGCGCUCCUUGGUAUUCCGAGGAGCAUGCCUGUUUGAGUGUCAUUAAAUUCUCAACCAAUAUCAACUUUUGCUGAUAAUGGCUUGGGUGUGGGGGUCUAUUUUGCUGGCUUCUCAGAUAGUCAGCUCCCCUUAAAUGCAUUAGCCGGUGCCCCGCGUGGACUGUCUAUUGGUGUGAUAAUUAUCUACGCUAUAGACAUCUGAAUCAUAUGGGUUUGCACUGCUUCUAACAGUCUGUUGAUUCAGACAAAACAUGACAAUUUG
rnacentral:rRNA from 1 species